GUCAGGGUGUUGCUACGUGGCUACCACAUUCUUUUGGAUGGUUGUUAGGGUAGGGCUGUGCAAAAAAUUGAAUGUGAUUUUCAUGCGCAUAUCAUCAGUAAAGGCGCUUUUGUGAUUAGUGUAUCUCCAGCAUGUGUGUUCAGAUCAGGGUUGCCAGGUUUUCACAACAAAGCCUGCCAGUUGCUUCUCAAAAAUAGUCCAAUCACAUUUACAGGGGGUUCCCCGAUAAAAAUUGCAUCCCGGGGAUAAAAUAAAAAUUUAUUUGGCAGUGUUGUCUUGGUAGAAUUCACAUUUUAGGGGCUAAAUAUCACGAUAUUGGGAUUGGCGUUGUUUCAACCUGCUGACAUGAAAAACAACCGCGGACUUGGCAACACUGGUUCAGGUGGAGCGACAUUCACUAAGCAGAGCCGUAGUUCACUGACAAGCUACACAAAAUCAGUUUCAAAAUCGGCAAUGAAUCGCCUGCGCAGCCCUAUUUGUUAGGGUGUUACCAAUUGGCUACCAUGUUCUUUUAAGUGGUUGCCAAGGUGUUGCUAAGUGGUUACCACAUUCUUUUGGGUGGUUGUUAGGGUGUUGCUAAGUGGUUACCACAUUCUUUUGGGUGGUUGUUAGGUGGUUACCACAUUCUUUUGUGUGGUUGUUAGGGUGUUGCUAAGUGGUUAACACAUUUUUUGUGGGGUUGUUAGGGUGUUGCUAAGUGGUUUACACAUUCUUUUGGGUCGUGGUAAGGGUGUUGCUAAGUGGUUACCACAUUCUUUUGGGUGGUUGUUAGGAUGUUGCUAAGUAGUUACCACAUUCUUUUGGGUGGUUGUUAGGUGGUUACCACAUUCUUUUGUGUGGUUGUUAAGGUGUUGCUAAGUGGUUACCACAUUCUUUUGGGUGGUUGUUAGGGUGUUGGGAGUGGUUUCUUGAUCUCUGGUUUGCUGAUCAUCAGUUGGUUAUUCCAAAAAGCAGGUUAACUUACAUUCAUACAAACCCCUUCAGAGUUUCAUCCCUCAAAGUCAAGUUUUAGUCUUAAGUAGGGCUGCACCAUAAACCGCAUGCAAUUUUAUUUAAUGCGCAUCUGGUCAGUAAAGCUGGCUCUGAAAUUAGACAAAAAAAAAGUGCAUUUUUUUGUUUAGCCAUUUUGCUUUCACAUUUGUUUUAAAGUCAGACGAGUCACAUUUGUAUUGUUAUUAUAGAAAU